rnacentral:tRNA from 1 species
AAAGUAUUAGUAUAAUAAGUAUGCUUAUCUUCCAAAUAAGAGGUUCUCAAAUGGAAUACUUUA